GCCAGAGUGGCAUAGUGGUUUAAGUGUUGGACUAUGACUCCAGAGAUCAGGGUUCGAUUCCCAGCUUGGCCA